rnacentral:rRNA from 1 species
UACGUAGGGUGCGAGCGUUGUCCGGAAUUAUUGGGCGUAAAGGGCUCGUAGGCGGUUUGUCGCGUCGGGAGUGAAAACCCAGGGCUUAACCCUGGGCUGGCUUCCGAUACGGGCAGACUAGAGGUAUGCAGGGGAGAACGGAAUUCCUGGUGUAGCGGUGAAAUGCGCAGAUAUCAGGAGGAACACCCGUGGCGAAAGCGGCUCUCUGGGACGGUACUGACGCUGAGACGCGAAAGCGUGGGGAGCAAACAGG